AUCCAGCUGACGAGUCCUAAAUAAGACGAAACGCCCGUCCUGGAU
rnacentral:hammerhead_ribozyme from 1 species